ensembl:lncRNA
CACGCUUCUUGGAUAUGCCAUGUCUGCUGGAUGUCGAGUUGGCAAAAUGACAAAUGGAAAGACGGAUCAGUUCAUCAGGCGAUGGGAGGCCAGCAUCAUUCCAAAGCUGAAAGCAGUGGCUGCCACGGAAAGACGUGAUGUUGCAGCUCUUAUAAAGGGGAUUGAAGACCAAACAGAUGAUGAGAAAUGCUACACAACACUGGUUGUUCUCACACAUCUCUGCCACCAUUACCUGGGAGUCGAUGCAGUGUUAAAUGUGCAAUUUCAUUCCUACUUGAUUUUGUACAGGUAUGUUUCAUAAGGUAUUUGGUAGAGAUGCAUUACAGCUUCAGUUUUGACUUCUCUUUAUUUUUG